GAAGGGGUGUAUUUAUUWGAUUAAAAACCAAUGCCCUUCGGGGCUUUCCUGGUGAUUCAUAAUAACUUCUMGAAUCGCACGGCCUUGCGCCGGCGAUGGUUCAUUCAAAUUUCUGCCCUAUCAACUUUCGACGGCUGGGUCUUGGCCAGCCGUGGUGACAACGGGUAACGGAGGGUUAGGGCUCGACCCCGGAGAAGGAGCCUGAGAAACGGCUACUACAUCCAAGGAAGGCAGCAGGCGCGCAAAUUACCCAAUCCCGACACGGGGAGGUAGUGACAAUAAAUACUGAUACAGGGCUCUUUUGGGUCUUGUAAUUGGAAUGAGUACAAUUUAAAUCCCUUAACGAGGAACAAUUGGAGGGCAAGUCUGGUGCCAGCAGCCGCGGUAAUUCCAGCUCCAAUAGCGUAUAUUAAAGUUGUUGAGGUUAAAAAGCUCGUAGUUGAACCUUGGGCCUAGCCGACCGGUCCGCCUCACCGCGUGCACUGGUUCGGUUGGGUCUUUCCUUCUGGAGAACCUCAUGCCCUUUACUGGGUGUGUUGGGGAACCAGGACUUUUAC
rnacentral:rRNA from 1 species